GACGAACGCUGGCGGCGUGCCUAACACAUGCAAGUCGAGCGGAGAUGAUGUGAGGAAGUUUUCGGAUGGAAUCACAUUAUUUUAGCGGCGGACGGGUGAGUAACGCGUGAGCGACCAACCUUGCACAGGGGGAUAACGGACCGAAAGGUUCACUAAUACCGCAUGAGACCACGGUGUUGCAUGACACAGGGGUCAAAGGAGCAAUCCGGUGCAAGACGGGCUCGCGUCCGAUUAGGUAGUUGGAGGGGUAACGGCCCACCAAGCCUAUGAUCGGUAGCCGACCUGAGAGGGUGAUCGGCCACAUUGGAACUGAGAUACGGUCCAAACUCCUACGGGAGGCAGCAGUGGGGAAUAUUGGGCAAUGGGGGAAACCCUGACCCAGCAACGCCGCGUGAAGGAAGAAGGUUUUCGGAUUGUAAACUUCUGUCCUUGGUGAAGAGAAGAAGACGGUAGCCAAGGAGGAAGCCCCGGCUAACUACGUGCCAGCAGCCGCAGUAA
rnacentral:rRNA from 1 species